GCAAGCGUUGUCCGGAAUUAUUGGGCGUAAAGAGCUCGUAGGCGGCUUGUCGCGUCGGAUGUGAAAGCCCGGGGCUUAACUCCGGGUCUGCAUUCGAUACGGGCAGGCUAGAGUUCGGUAGGGGAGAUCGGAAUUCCUGGUGUAGCGGUGAAAUGCGCAGAUAUCAGGAGGAACACCGGUGGCGAAGGCGGAUCUCUGGGCCGAUACUGACGCUGAGGAGCGAAAGCGUGGGGAGCGAACAGG
rnacentral:rRNA from 1 species